UACGUAUGGUGCAAGCGUUAUCCGGAUUUACUGGGCGUAAAGGGAGCGCAGGCGGCGCGCCAAGUCUGAUGUGAAACCCCGGGGCUCAACCCCGGGCAUGCAUUGGAAACUGGCGGGCUGGAGUGCCGGAGAGGUAAGCGGGAUUCCUAGUGUAGCGGUGAGAUGCGUAGAUAUUAGGAGGAACACCAGUGGCGAAGGCGGCUUACUGGACGGCAACUGACGCUGAGGCUCGAAAGCGUGGGGAGCAAACAGG
rnacentral:rRNA from 1 species